rnacentral:rRNA from 1 species
UGGCGGCACGCCUAACACAUGCAAGUCGAACGCAGUAGCAAUACUGAGUGGCAGACGGGUGAGUAACAUGUGGGAAUCUGCCUUGUGGUUCAGGACAACAUUGGGAAACCGAUGCUAAUACUGGAUAAGCCCUUACGGGGAAAGUUUUAAUGCCAUAAGAUGAGCCCGCAUUUGAUUAGUUAGUUGGUGAGGUAAUGGCUCACCAAGACAAUGAUCAAUAGCUGAUCUGAGAGGAUGAUCAGCCACACUGGGACUGAGACACGGGCCCAGACUCCUACGGGAGGCAGCAGUGGGGAAUCUUGCACAAUGGAGGAAACUCUGAUGCAGCGAUGCCGCGUGAGUGAAGAAGGCCUUUGGGUUGUAAAGCUCUUUUGUAGGGGAAGAUAAUGACUGUACCCUAAGAAUAAGGUCCGGCUAACUUCGUGCCAGCAGCCGCGGUAAUACGAAGGGACCUAGCGUAGUUCGGAAUUACUGGGCGUAAAGCGCGCGUAGGCCGUUGAGUUAGUUAAUUGUGAAAUCCCAAAGCUUAACUUUGGAACUGCAAUUAAAACUGCUCGACUAGAGUUUGAUAGAGGAAAGCGGAAUACAUAGUGUAGAGGUGAAAUUCGUAGAUAUUAUGUAGAACACCAGUUGCGAAGGCGGCUUUCUGGAUCAACACUGACGCUGAGGCGCGAAAGUAUGGGUAGCAAAGAGGAUUAGAUACCCUCGUAGUCCAUACCAUAAACGAUGAUUGCUAGAUGUUGGAAAUUUAUUUCAGUAUCGCAGCUAACGCAUUAAGCAAUCCGCCUG